rnacentral:rRNA from 1 species
AUUAGACGAAUCAUCUGGAAAGAUGAAUCAAAGAAGGUAAUAAUCCUGUAGUCGAAAAUGUUGUCUCUCUUGAGUGGAUCCUGAGUACGACGGAGCACGUGAAAUUCCGUCGGAAUCUGGGAGGACCAUCUCCUAAGGCUAAAUACUCUCUAGUGACCGAUAGUGAACCAGUACCGUGAGGGAAAGGUGAAAAGCACCCCGGAAGGGGAGUGAAAUAGAACCUGAAACCGUGUGCUUACAAGUAGUCAGAGCCCGUUAAUGGGUGAUGGCGUGCCUUUUGUAGAAUGAACCGGCGAGUUACGAUUUGAUGCAAGGUUAAGCAGUAAAUGUGGAGCCGUAGCGAAAGCGAGUCUGAAUAGGGCGUUUAGUAUUUGGUCGUAGACCCGAAACCAGGUGAUCUACCCUUGGUCAGGUUGAAGUUCAGGUAACACUGAAUGGAGGACCGAACCGACUUACGUUGAAAAGUGAGCGGAUGAACUGAGGGUAGCGGAGAAAUUCCAAUCGAACCUGGAGAUAGCUGGUUCUCUCCGAAAUAGCUUUAGGGCUAGCCUCAAGUGAUGAUUAUUGGAGG